rnacentral:rRNA from 1 species
GAUGAACGCUGGCGGCGUGCCUAAUACAUGCAAGUCGGGCGAAUGGAUUAAGAGCUUGCUCUUAUGAAGUUAGCGGCGGACGGGUGAGUAACACGUGGGUAACCUGCCCAUAAGACUGGGAUAACUCCGGGAAACCGGGGCUAAUACCGGAUAACAUUUUGAACCGCAUGGUUCGAAAUUGAAAGGCGGCUUCGGCUGUCACUUAUGGAUGGACCCGCGUCGCAUUAGCUAGUUGGUGAGGUAACGGCUCACCAAGGCAACGAUGCGUAGCCGACCUGGGAGGGUGAUCGGCCACACUGGGACUGAGACACAGCCCAGACUCCUACGGGAGGCAGCAGUAGGGAAUCUUCCGCAAUGGACGAAAGUCUGACGGAGCAACGCCGCGUGAGUGAUGAAGGCUUUCGGGUCGUAAAACUCUGUUGUUAGGGAAGAACAAGUGCUAGUUGAAUAAGCUGGCACCUUGACGGUACCUAACCAGAAAGCCACGGCUAACUACGUGCCAGCAGCCGCAGUAA